AAUAUUUGACAAUGGGGGGAACCGUGAUCCAGCCAUGCCGCGUGUGUGAAGAAGGUCUUCGGAUUGUAAAGCACUCUAAGUUGGGAGGAAGGGUUGUAGGUUAAUACCCUGCAAUUUUGACGUUACCAACAGAAUAACCACCGGCUAACUUCGUGCCAGCAGCCGCGGUAAUACGAAGGGUGCAAGCGUUAAUCGGAAUUACUGGGCGUAAAGCGCGCUUAGGUGGUGCGUUAAGUUUGAGUUGAAAGCCCCGGGCUUAACCUGGGAAUUGCUUUCAAAACUGACGAGCUAGAGUACGGUAGAGGGUAGUGGAAUUGCCUGUGUAGCGGUGAAAUGCGUAGAUAUAGGGAGGAACAUCAGUAGCGAAGGCGACUACCUGGAGCGAUACUGACACUGAGGUGCGAAAGCGUGGGGAGCAAACAGG
rnacentral:rRNA from 1 species